rnacentral:rRNA from 1 species
UACGUAGGAGACGAGCGUUGUCCGGAAUUACUGGGCGUAAAGCGCGUGUAGGCGGAUGGGCAAGUCUGCUGUGAAAGCACCUGGCUUAACCGGGUGUCGUCGGUGGAAACUGCUAAUCUGGAGGACGGUAGAGGCUGGUGGAAUUCCCGGUGUAGUGGUGAAAUGCGUAGAGAUCAGGAGGAACACCUGUGGCGAAGGCGGCCAGCUGGGCCGGACCUGACGCUGAGACGCGAAGGCGUGGGGAGCGAACGGG